AAUGAACGCUGGCGGCGUGGUUAAGACAUGCAAGUCGAACGGGCUUUCAGGUGUAGCAAUACAUUUGAAAGCCAGUGGCGAACGGGUGCGUAACACGUGAACAAUCUACCACUUAGUGUGGAAUAGCUCGCCGAAAGGCGAAUUAAUACCGCAUGUGGUUGUUUCCCGCAUGGGAGACAUACUAAAGUCAGGGACCGCAAGGCCUGACGCCAAUUGAGGAGUUCGCGGCCUAUCAGCUAGUUGGCGAGGUAACGGCUCACCAAGGCUAAGACGGGUAGCUGAUCGGAGAGGAUGAUCGGCCACACUGGAACUGAGACACGGUCCGGACACCUACGGGUGGCAGCAGUUUCGAAUCAUUCACAAUGGGCGAAAGCCUGAUGGUGCGACGCCGCGUGAGGGAUGAAUGGCUUCGGCACGUAAACCCCUGUCAGUCGCGAACAAAUCGUUGGACCUAAUACGUUCAGCGUUGAUAGUAGCGGCAGAGGAAGGGACGGCUAACUCUGUGCCAGCAGCCGCGGUAACAC
rnacentral:rRNA from 1 species